rnacentral:rRNA from 1 species
GAUGAACGCUGGCGGCGUGCCUAACACAUGCAAGUCGAACGGACGCAGGAAGAACCUGCUUUUUUUACUUUAGCGGGGGACGGGGGAGUAAAACGUGGAGAAACCAGCCAUAUGACUGGGAUAACCUCGGGAAACCGGUGCUUAAACCCGAAUAUAGUUGGAACCGCAUGGAUCAAGAGUGACAGGCGUUCUUGCAGUCACUGAUAGAUGGAUCCACGCUGCAUUAGCUAGUAGGUCAGGUAACGGCUUACCAAGGCAACGAUGCAUAGCCGACCUGAGAGGAUGACCGGCCACACUGGAACUGAGACACGGUCCAGACUCCUACGGGAGGCAGCAGUGGGGAAUCUUGCGCAAUGGGCGCAAGCCUGAUGGAGCCAUGCCGCGUGUGUGAUGAAGGUCUUCGGUUUGUAAAGUACUGUUAUUGGGGAGGAACAGAGUAAUGUGAAUAUGUGCACUCAUUGACGUUACCCGAACAGAAAGCCCCGGCUAACUACGUG